rnacentral:rRNA from 1 species
GCAGCCGCGGUAAUACGUAGGGGGCAAGCGUUGUCCGGAAUCACUGGGCGUAAAGGGCGCGUAGGCGGUCUAAUAAGUCAGUGGUGAAAACUAUGGGCUCAACCCAUAGCCUGCCACUGAUACUGUUAGACUUGAGUAUGGAAGAGGAGAAUGGAAUUCCUAGUGUAGCGGUGAAAUGCGUAGAUAUUAGGAGGAACACCAGUGGCGAAGGCGAUUCUCUGGGCCAAAACUGACGCUGAGGCGCGAAAGCGUGGGGAGCAAACAGGAUUAGAUACCCC